CCCAGGGACCACACUUCUGCUGGUCCCUCCUCCACCUCCAGACAGGGAACCACCCAUGCCAGUGUGGGGGCCACCUUGGAGUCCACGGUUAUGACAAGGCGAGGCCAGGAUGAGAGACACAUUUCAGAACCUCGAGGUCAGGAACCACGACGUAGCCAACGCUCAGGAACGACCUGUCCUCCGAGGGCCGGCUUCCGCUUUCCUGCAGCCAACACCUCCAUCACCUGCCUGAAGGUACGCAGCUAUUCCAGCAGGCUACCCGCUGAGCACGCAGGCGUCCAUCCUGCCAUCCGACCACCGUUCCACCUGUUCACCCACCAGCAUCCUCCAUCCAUCGUCCAUCGACCCAGGCAGCCUCCACCCGCCCACUGUGUGGUUCCUCUGUCUAUCCUUUGAUUUGUCUACACAGCCAUCCACUCCUUUGAAUCCCUAGUACCAGGCCCAAAGCCACCCGUGGGCAUGAAGCAAGGCCGGCUCAAAUGGCUUCUGGGUACUGUGGAAAAACCCAAGCCGGUUCCACGCGAGCAUUUUUGCGUUUUUGGUCACUGGCUUCGCAGCUUCCCCUCUAGGCACACUGGCCCUUCCCCUCCUGGGAGGUCAAAGGGCGGCGGGGUGGGGAAGCCUGGGCUUUGGGUUGGCCGUUUAUUCUCUGCGUGACCUUGGCCGUGGAACCAGUUGGUCCAUGUUGCAUGAUGCGAAGAGUCACAGCAGAUGCCUGGACCAAGCACCUGCCACAGCCAGACACCCACGGUAAUUAACCCGUGUUAUCGCCGGAAUGAAUCACCACUUACGUUGUCCAGGCUGCGUUGUCCAGUUGUGUCUGAUGGUCCCGGGAGGAAAGUUUGCUGUGGUUCCUAAAUGCCCAGUGGAUGAAAAAUCAUGUCUUUCUGCUGUUUUUCUGUCCCCCAGACCUUCCUUUUUCUAGCUGGCCGGGUCCCGUUUUCAACUGCGCAUGUCUUUUUUAUUUCAGCGGCA